rnacentral:rRNA from 1 species
CCCACGGGGCGCAGCAGUGGGGAAUAUUGGACAAUGGGCGAAAGCCUGAUCCAGCCAUGCCGCGUGUGUGAAGAAGGCCUUCGGGUUGUAAAGCACUUUCAGUGGGGAAGAAAGCCUUGGGGCUAAUACCCUCGAGGAAGGACAUCACCCACAGAAGAAGCACCGGCUAACUCCGUGCCAGCAGCCGCGGUAAUACGGAGGGUGCGAGCGUUAAUCGGAAUUACUGGGCGUAAAGCGCGCGUAGGCGGUCUGAUAAGCCGGUUGUGAAAGCCCCGGGCUCAACCUGGGAACGGCAUCCGGAACUGUCAGGCUAGAGUGCAGGAGAGGAAGGGAGAAUUCCCGGUGUAGCGGUGAAAUGCGUAGAGAUCGGGAGGAAUACCAGUGGCGAAGGCGGCCUUCUGGACUGACACUGACGCUGAGGUGCGAAAGCGUGGGUAGCAAACAGGAUUAGAUACCCUAGUAGUC